rnacentral:rRNA from 1 species
GUCUAUGGCCGUGCCACCCUGAACAAGCCUGAUCUCAUCUGAUCUCGGAAGCUAAGCAGGGUCAAGGCCUGGUUAGUACUUGGAUGGGAGACAACCUUGGAAGACCAGGUGCUGUAGGCA